GUUAGACUUUGAGACUUGUAGGAAAACACUCCAAACAAAGGCCUUAAGACAAAUCUACCAGUUGAGGUAGGAAAUCCACUGAGAUAUUUAGUAGACAGAACUUGAUAAUUUCUUUCCUUUCAUAUUUUCAUUUUAGAUCUUCAGAACUUUUAUUCAGGGGAGAAAGGCCCAGGUAGCUGCUGCUGUUCAGCUUAAGGCUAAUCUGACCUUCUAUAACAGGAGUUCAAGUCCCAGAAAUCCCUAGUCCUCCAUCAGAGAUACACAUGUUGGAAUUCAUCAAGAAAACAACCUGACCCAUGGAGAAUGGAGAAAAGCAGGGCAGGACAACCGCCCACACGGGAGAAACAUGGAGCCAGGGGAACCUCCCCAUCCAGGGAAGCCGCUCUGAAAAGUCCUCUGUGAGUACCAGGGGCUGGUCCAGACCCCCAGCACAGAGCGCCCACCUUAGAAAAGCGGUCAGACUGUUCCCCACAAGUCCCAGUCCUCACUGCAUAGGGCUGCCCGACCUGAGACUCCAGCACCACCAUCCUGUUUCCGCCUGACCACUUCAAUCAGAGGCACCCCCGCAUUUCUUCGAAGAGGAAAUAAAUACCAGAGUGAACCCACAAACCUUCGCCUCUGCAGUUGCAGUGGUACUGCCCUAACAGACCUCAGGCUGGGGAAGGAACAAAGGUCCCAGUCACUACACUGGUAUCUUUAGUGCACCGCAGCCACCAUAUGGAAAGGAGUUCAGUUUCUCUUUCCUGGGAAUCCCCACCCGCUACUCUUCACCAGGCAGGGCCCCUGGUUCAUGACCACAGAACAGUCACGUCACCCACAGCUGAGCAAACCCACCGGUAGUGGCCUGGAGUUUCCCUGGGGAAAAGCUCUCAGAGGUAUAUGACAGUCUCUCCACCACAGUGACCACAUGGAGAGGAGACCAUUAUCUCCUCUCAGUGAGCCCUUGAACCCCUGCUCCCCAACAAGUGGAGCCUCCAACUCACACCAGCAGUGCAGCCACCCACCUCACUGGCUGAACAUUCCCAGUAACAGUGACUCUGCAUUUCUUGGGGUUGGAGCCCUCAGGGGCAACCAAAAGCCUCUCUGCCACUGCCUCUGUAGUAGUACUACCCCUACUACCUUUAGACUAAUUAAACAGCAAAGACCCUAAGUGCCUCAUCCACACCCCCAACAAGCUGCAGUUAACCCAAGGAGAGGAGACCAGUCCAUCUCCCACAGGUCCCAUCCACCCCUGCUGCUUGUCACCAGGGAACCCCCCAGCUUGGACCCACAGUACAGAUCACCCAUCUUGGGCCUAUCACACUGAGCAAUUGCUGACCUGCAUCUCUGUGGAGUGGAGCCCCCAGGAGACAAGUAAAAGACCCCCAGCCACAACCACUGCUAAGGUCCUUCUCUCUGCUGCCUCCAAGCUGGGGAGGAAACAUAAACCCUGAGAUCUCCCCAGAGCUGUGGUGGGCAGCCUAGGAGUGCCAAGUCUCAAUCUGUAGCCAGCACUCAAAUGGGAGAGGAGUCCACACUUUCAGAGCAUUGAGAGGUAGCCCAGCUGCAACCAUGAGGAAAUAUAGAGGAGUCACAUGACUGGGAAAGAGUCUACCUACUGACCACUACUUCACAAAACCCCUCAUUUCCUUCUGUCCUCCCUAAAGCCUCUCAGUUUUGAAUCUCAUGUCUUCAAAUUGUAUCACCCACUGGCCUCCAUGAAGCGCCUAAGCACCACCUACUGGAUCACACCCCGCAGCUUCAACACCAAAAAGUUAGAAAGACUUCAAAUUAACAACCUAACAUCACAACUAAAAGAACUACAGAACCAAGAGCAAACCAAUCCCAAAGCUAGCAGAAGACAAAAAAACACAUGCUUAUCUCAACAGAUGUAUCUCACUAACAUACCCGCCCUGUAAAACCAAAGAUAAGAAGUCAGCUGCAAAUAAAGACCUCGCACAAAGCCUCAGCCCUGUGAAAAUAUUCAGGAAAAAAGUCUUCUGACUGUACUCAAUCUAUGCUGCAGUUAAAGGAACACCCAUACACAGAGAUGAGAAAGAACCAAUGUAAGAACUCUGGCAACUCAAAUGACCAGUGUCUUAUGUACUCCAAACAAUAGCACCAGUUCUCCAAUGAGGGUUCUUAAACAGGCUGAGUUGGCUGAAAUGACAGAAAUAGAAUUCAGAGUAUAGAUAGGAAUGAAGAUCAUUGAGAUUUAGGAGAAGAGGAAAACACAAUCCAAGGAAACUAAGAAUCACAAUAAAAUGAUAAAGGAGCUGACAGGCAAAAUCGCCAGUAUUAAAAAGAAACCUAACUGAUCUGAUAGAGCUGAAAAGCACACUGCAAGAAUUUCACAAUGCAAUCGCAAGUAUUAACAGCAGAAUAGACCAAGCUGGGGAAAGAAUCUCAGAACUUGAAGACUGGCUCUCUGAAACAAGACAGCCAGACAAAAAUAAAGAAAAAAAGAAUGAAAAUGAAUGAACAGAAACUCCAGAAAAUAUAGGAUUAUGUAAGGAGGCCAAAUCUAUAAAUCACUGGCAUCACUGAAAGAGAUGGGGAGAAAGCAAACCACUUGGAAAACACAUUUUAGGAUAUCACUCAUGAAAACUUCCCUCACCUUGCCAGAGAGGCCAACAGUCAAAUUCAGUAAAUACAGAGAACCUGUACAAUAUUCUACUCAAGAAGAUCAUCCCCAGGACAUGUAAUUGUCAGAUUUUCCAAAAUUGAAAUGAGAGAAUGUUAAAGGCAGCUAGAGAGAAAAGGCAGGGCAUCUAAAAGGGAAUCCCAUCAGGCUAACAGUAGACCUCUCAGCAGAAACUCUACAAGCCAGAAGAGAUUGGGGGCCUAUAUUCAACAUUCUUAAAGAAAAACAUCUUCAACCAAUAAUUUCAUAUCCAGCCAAACUAAGCUUCUUAAGUGUAUUAGUUCAUUCUCACACUGCUAGCAUACUACCUGAGAUUGGGUAAUUUAUAAAGAAAGAGGUUUAAUUGGCUCAUACUUAUGCAUGGCUAAGAGGCCUCAGGAAACUUAAAACCAUGGCAGAAGGUAAAGGGGAAGCAAGGCACAUCUUACAUAGCAGCAGGAGAGAGAGAGUGUGUGUGCAUGGGAAACUGCCACUUUUAAGCCAUCAGAUCUCAUGAGAACUCCCUCACUAUUAUGAGAACAGCACUGGUGGGGGGGAACUGCCUCUAUGAUCCAAUCACCUCCCACCAGGUCCCUCCCUCGACAUGUGGAGAUAAGAUUUGGGUAGGGACAUGGAGCCAAACUCUAUUAAUAAGCAAAGGAGAAAUAGCCAAAUAAGCAAAUGCCAAGGGAGUUCAGACCCACCUUACAACAGAUCCUGAAAGGAACAUUAAAUAUGGAAAGGAAAGACUGUUACCAGCCAAUACAAAAACAUGUUUAGGUACACAGACCAGUGACACUAUAAAUCAACCACACAAGCAAGUCAGCAUAAUAACCAGCUAACAACACAGUGACAGGAUUAAAUCCACAUGUAUCAAUACUAACCUUGAAUAUAAAUGGGAUCAAUGCCCCUCUUAAAAGGCACAGAGGCCAGGCAUGGUGGCUCAUGCCUGUAAUCUCAGCAAUUUGGAAGGUCGAGGCAGGUGGAUCACCUGAGGUCAGGAGUUUGAGACCAGCCUGGCCAACUUGAGGAAACCCUGUCUCUACUAAAAAUACAAAAAAUUAGCCAGGCAUGGUGGCAGGUGCCUGUAAUCCCAGCUACUUGGGAGGCUGAGGCAGGAGAAUUUCUUAAACCCAGGAGGCAGAGGUUGCAGUGUGCUGAGAUUGCACUACUGCACUCCAGCCUGGGCAACAAGAACGAAACUCUGUCUAAAAAAUAAAUAAAUAAGUAGGCCAGGCACAGUGGCUCACGCCUGUAAUCCCAGCACUUUGGGAGGCCGAGUUGGGCGGACCAUGAGGUCAGGAGAUGGAGACCAUGCUGGCUAACAUGGUGAAACCCCGUCUCUACUAAAAAUACAAAAAAAUUAGCCUGGCGUGGUGGUGGGUACCUGUAGUCCCAGCUACUUUGGAGGCUGAGGCAGGAGAAUGGCAUGAACCUAGGAGGCAGAGCAUGCAGUGAGCUGAGAUCAUGCCACUGCAAUCCAACCUGGGUGACAGAGCGAGACUCCGUCUCAAAAAAUAAAUAAAUAAAUAAAUAAGUAAAAAUAAAAAAUAAAAGGUACACAGUGGCAAACUGGAUAAAAAAGCAAUACUCAGUGGUAUGUUGUCUUCAAGAGACCCAUCUCACAUGCAAUGACACAAAUAGGCUUGAAACAAAGAGAUGGAGGAAAAUCUAUGAAGCAAAUGGAAAUGAGGAAAAAGCAGGGGUUGCAAUCCUAGUUUCAGACAAAACAGACUUUAAACCAACAAAGAUUUUUAAAAAAAGGCAAAGAAGGGUGUUACAUAAUGAUCAAGGUUUUAAUUCAACAAGAAGACCUAACUUUCCUAAAUGUAUACACACCCAAUGCAGGAGCAUCCAAAUUUAUAAAGCAAGUUCUUAGAGACCUUCAAAGAGACUUAGACUCCCAGACGAGAAUAGUGGGAGACUUUAACACUCCACUGAUAGUACUAGACAGAACACUCAGGCAGAAAAUUAACAAAGAUAUUCAGGACCCGAACUCAACAUUGGGCCAAAUGAAUUUCAUAGAUCUCUACAGAACUUUCCAUCCCAAAACAACAGAACAUCCAUCUUCUCAUCACCACAGGGCACAUACUCUAAAAUCAACCACACUAUUGGACAUAAAACAAUCCUCAGCAAAUGCAAAAGGACCAAAUCAUACCAAAAACACUCUUGGACCACAGAACAAUAAAAAUAGAAAUCAAGACUAAAAAGAUAGCCCAAGCCAUGCAAUUACAUGAAAAUUAAACAACGUGCUCCUGAAUGACUUUCAGGUAAAUAAUAAGAUUAAGGCAAAAAUCAAGAAGUUAUUUGCAACUAAUGAGAAAAAUGAUAAAACAUAUCAGAAUCUCUGGGACACAGCUAAGGCGGUGUUAAGAGAGAAAUUUAUAGCACUAAACACCCACCCAAAAAGUUAGAAAGACUUCAAAUUAACAACCUAAUAUCACAACUAAAAGAACUACAGAACCAAGAGCAAACCAAUCCCAAAGCUAGCAGAAGACAAAAAAAAGUGCUUAUGUUAAUAGAUGUAGAAAAGACAUUUGAUAAAAUUCAACACCCCUUCAUGUUAAAAACUCUCUAUAAACUUGGUAUUGAAGUAACAUACCUCAAAAUAGUAAGAGCAAUCUGUGAAAAACCCGCAGCCAACAUCAUACUGAAUGGGCAAAAGCUGGAAGCAUUCCCCUUGAAAACUAGCACAAGACGAGGAUGGCCUCUCUCACUGCUCCUAUUCAAAGUGGCUACAUAAUCUUGGAACCAAAGAGAAAUCUGGCGAGUGGAGUCAGUGACUUUUAAAAAUUAUCUUCAGGCCAGGAGCGGUGGCUCAUGCCUGUAAUCCCAGGACUUUGGGAGGCUGAGGCAGGCGGAUCACCUGAGGUCAGAAGUUCAAGACCAGCCUGGUCAACAUGGCAAAACCCCAUCUCUACUAAAAAUACAAAAAAUUAGCUGGGCAUGGUGGCUCGUGCCUGUAGUCCCAGCUACCUGGGAGGCUGAGACAUGAGAAUCGCUUGAACCCAGGACGCAGAGGUUGCAGUGAGCCAAGAUCGUGCCACUACCCUCCAGCCUGGGCAACAGUGUGAGACUCUGUCUCAAAAAAAAAAACAAAAAAAUUAAAAAAAAUUAUCUUCAGGUUUUAUAAGGAAUCAGAAUAUAAAAGGAUAUGAAGGGAAGUCCUUCAAUAAUCACAAGUGAUGCAAUGGAUGAAACACAGAGAAGGUAGAGCUAGGAAAGUUCCCACCCAAUCUCCAAGUGCGUCUGUUAACAACAAUAAACACAAAUUCAUAUGAGAAUGUUCCUUAUUGUUUUAAAUAUAUAUUACUGAAAAGCUAAAGGACCCCACUGCAUAGUGGCUAAUCUCUGAUUUUUAGAAUGACUCCAGGUAGGUGGGGAAUAAGUCAAGAGGGAUGUAAUAUGUACUCUGAGUUUUAAAUUAUGAUUAAAUUGAUAUCACCAAAUUCUUAUGUUCAUGAAAAACUCCAUAGUAAAGGUGAAUACUCAAAAUUUUCCUCAAGUUACUAAAAGUUAUCAUCAAUAAAAUUCUUAACAGAGAAGAACAAGCAAACUAGCAAAAAAGAACGACAACAACAAAAAAUAACUUCUAGAAUGUAUUUAUACUGGAGUAAGCAAAUAGAGAAAGACUUAAGCCUGCGUGUGCCUAGAUUAACUGGCAAAAUCUGCUUUAAGUAUUCUUGGCGUAGUCUGAAAAGGAUUCAUGUACUUAAGGUCCAAAUCUCAGAAGGAAAAAAAAAUGCCAGUAACACUGUUUCAUGCUGGGUUCCCUCAUACCUUCCUCAUGUUUAAAUAAAACAAGGUCAGGAGUUAGAGACCAGCCUGCAAUGCUGCAAUGAUUUUUUUCCAUUGUAUAUGUGUUUAUUUGUGUGUUCCUGUGAGCAUUUGCAUGCUUAUGUGUUCCACUUCCUUAUCAAAUCUGAGAUGUGCCUGAUUUCCCAGAAUUAGCUAUGUUCUAAAGUGACCCUAAGCUUUUUUUUUUAACAUAGUGCUUUCACUUUUGUUUCUCCUUAUUACAAAUGGAAUCAUAAAAAUUUAGAGUUUGAAGGAUAGUAACUUCUUAUUUUACAGAUCCAGAACAUUAGGACUAGUGGUUUGCUCGAGCCCUCCUGAGCUCCAUACAAAGCUCUUUUUGCAAAAUUUUAUUCUGGAUUUAAAUGUUAGGUAAAAUUCCAUACUCUUCUAUUAUUUGAUUAAAGUUAUAACUACACUUGAAGCCAUCUGGGAGUCAGUUAUAUUAAGAUCAUUGUCCACAAACAAAAAAUAUAUUCAAAGAACAACUUAGAACAGUGUCCCCCUACCAAUUAGAUAUGAUAUUCAAAAUAUUUAGUAACUGGCAGGGCAUAGUCACUGACGCAUUGACACAGACACCGCUGUCAACACCUGGUCUGAUUGAAGCAUGCAAACUAGGGAAAUAACAACCCUUUUUCCAACCCCUUCCAGAAAAUUCAGAGUUCGGUGAAAUGAAUCAGAAAUGAAUACUUAAAAGAUUUGACAAAAUUACAAAGAAAAAAGGAUAUAUACUUGAACGUAAGAUAUCUAAUAGUCUAUUAAUUAGGAAUUAACUACUAACACUUAAAUACAGAGUCAGUCUAACAUAUCAGCCAUAACUAUAUCAGCCAGGACAGAUAUCCAGCACAAAAUUACUCAGGCAAAAGAAAAAAUUUAUUUGUUUGCGCAAUCCAAAAGUCCCAGGAGUGUCUUCUGGUACAGUUUAAUCCAGAUGAUCAAGAGAUAAAAUCAGGACUGGGUGCGGUGGCUCAUGCCUGUAAUCCUAGUACUUUGAGAGGCCAGGACAGGCAGACCAGACUUGAGGCUAGGAGUGUCAGACCAGCCUGGCCAACAUAGCAAAACCCCAUCUCUACUAAAAAUACAAAAAUUAGCCGGGCGUGGUGUUGUGCGCCUGCUCGGGAGGCUGAGGCAUGAGAAUCGCUUGAACCCCCAGAAGGCGGAGGUUGCAGUGAGCCAAGAUUACACCACUCCAUUCCAGCCUGGGCAAUACAGUGACACUCUGUCUGAAAAAAAAAAAAAAAAAGAGAGAGAGAUAAAAUCAGAAAUGUCUCAGUGUUGGCUUCAUUCUCAGCAGAUUCUUCCUAAAUAGGAGUAAGAUUGCCAUUAUAGUCCAGGAUUAUAGUCUACCAUGUUAGCAAAGAAGGAGAAAGGAAGUGAUCUUUUCUGACUCUAACAAAUCUUCCAGAGCUGACUCUUUCUCACUGGAUUAAUUUGGGUUACCUGCCAUUCCUAAGCCAAUAAUGCUUCUGACUGGACCUGGGGAUAGAAUCAGUUCCACUGAAAUUUCAUGAAUGAAAUAAGGAAAGGUGGUUCCCUCAAAGAUAAAUCUAAGUGUGAAUACCAAAAAGAAGAAUGGAUACUGGAUAGACCAAAACUGUAGAUAUCUACCAAGUGCGUCUCUCAGCAGCCCAACUUCCACAUUCAUCUUUUUCCUCAUAUAAACAAUCAUCAGAAUUCUCCCCACUAAUACAAUUCACCCAUCAGCAUACAACCAAAAAUACAUAGAGUUUCUCUUCUAGGAAGGGAGAUAGCCUCAAGUUGCACCAGUUCUUGCAUACAAGUUCCAGGAUCUCUGGGAGAUGCACAUUUCUCUCUAGACUUUAUGUUAAUGGCAUCUGGACUAAAUGACGUAUUUAUUCAUCCUCUAUACUCCCAGUGUAAAAUAAUGGAGGGGAAACGUCAUAAUAAAAAUUCCUUUUGCAAAUGGGAAAACGGGGAAACAAAAUUCAAAGGACACUGCUUUGUUGCAUCAAUAAAUGCUGCUAAACCAGGAUAGCAACUAUAUCCUGCCAAGACAGUAGAGCAAGUUUCUAAAUCAACCAACUUGGCUUUCCCCAGUCCUGCAAGCUAACCAUUGAUCUUAGCUAAGAUGGGCACCAGUGAGAACCCGCUUUCUGAGGGAUGCACUGUAUUAGUCUGUUUCCAGUUGGUGUAAGUUCUAAGGGUUGGGAUUUGCAACAGGGGGUGUAUUUUUGCAGGUUUUUGCUCUUAUUUUUUUCUUUCUUUCUUUUUUUUUUUUUUUUUUUUUUGAGACAGAGUCUCGCUGUGUUGCCCAGGCUGGAGUGCAGUGGCGCGAUCUAGGCUCACUGCAAGCUCCACCUCCCAGGUUCAUGUCAUUCUGGUUUUUGCUUUCUUAAGUAAUAGGCUUGGAAUUUAUCCCGGAAUACAUCUCUUAAAGUUUGUUAGCCUCUGUUGACUUAUAUUUGUUCAGUUCCACAGAUCUGGUUAGUUAUGACUCUUGCAUUAAGAGCUUAAUCUGAGGGAUUCUGUCAUAUGCCAACAAGUUCCAGUGCUUUGUCCAUUCUGUAAGUUUUCAGCAUUCGACCUGGAGAGGGCAUCUUGGCAGUGCAAACCUGUAGCCUGGAUUGGAGAAGAACAGCUCUCCUUUCCCCUACCCCACAUUAUACUUCAUGGAAUGGUUUUAACAAUGGUGGUAGUUGCCAACUUUGUCAAUAAAUAGAGCCCCAAAGGAUAUGUUGGAGACUGAGAGACUGAAGAAUCAAACAUCCCCAGAUCUCAGUCUUGUAUCUAACCACGUUUUCACCCUGAUUUGAUUCCUCUUACUUUAGCUUGGUGCCGAGAAUACAGGUUUCAACCACAUUGGAUUUCUGGACACAGGCAAGAUGUAUCUUUCUUAGAAAAGCUUUAAUUUUCUUCCCUUACCACUAGCCUUUCAGGUAGGCCACAUUUGAGAGAUGUUUGUCAUUGAUAAGACUUUACUGAUGUUUGCAGAAAGUGGUCAACACAUAAUAUCCUGAUAUUUCCCCACUAGAUCCCCCCAAAUCAGGCCUUGGUAUAAGGAUAUGGUCUGAUUUUAUUUAAAAACAAGCUGGGAAAAAUACCUGCAAAGGACAUAUUUGAUAAAGAACUGUUAUCUGAAAUUUACAAAGAACUCUUAAAACUCAAAAAUAAGGAAACAAAUAACUAAAUAAAAUAGGCAAAAGACCUCAACAGAUACCUCAUCAAAUAAGAUAUCCCAAUGUCAAACAUGCAUAUGAAGAGAUAUUCAACACCAUAUGUCAUUAAGGAAUUGCAAGCUAAAACAGCAAUGAGAUGCUACUGCAUGCCUGUUAGAAUGGCCCAUAUCCAAAACACUAAUGACACCAAAUGCUGACAAGAUUGUGGAGCAAUGUUGGUGGGAAGUCAAAAUCGUACAGACAUUUUGAAAGACAGUAUGAUAGAGGGAAUGCUCACGUCUCCCUAAAAUUCAUAUGUUGAAAUCCUAUCCCCCAUGAUGAUGGUAGGGAGUGGGAUCUUUGGGAGUGAAUAGAUCAUGAGAGCAGGGCCCUCAUGAAUGGAAUUAGCAGCCUUGUAAAAAAAAAAAAAGAAGACCCAAGAGCUAGCAAGUUCUUUCUGCCAUAUUAGGACACAGCCAGAAGACACCAUCUAUGAACCAGAGAGCAGGCUCUCACCCAAUACCAAAUCUGCCACUGCUUUGAUCUUAGACUUCUCAGCCUCCAGAACUGUGAGAAAUAAAUUUCUGUUAUUUUGGUAUUUGUUAGCUACCCAGUUUAUAGUAUUUUGUUAUAGCAGCCCAAACAGACUAAGAGAGACAAUUUGGCAGUUUCUUAUAAGUCUAAACAUGUUCUUACUAUGUGAGUCAGCAAUCAUAUCCUUGGAAUUUGCCCAAAGGACUUGAAAACUCAUGUCCACACAAAAAGUUGCAUAUGGAUGUUUACAGCAGCCUUAUUCAUAACUGUGAAAACUUGGAAGCAACCAAGAUUUUCUUCAGUGGACGAGAGGGUAAAAAAAGUGUGGUACAUCCAGACAAUUGAAUAUUAUUCAGCACUAAAACCAAAUGAGCUAUCAAGCCAUGUAAAGACACGGAGGAAAUUUAAGUGCAUAUUGCCAAGUGAAAGAAGCCAAUCUGAAAAGGCUACAUACUAUAUGAUUCCAACUAUAUGCCAUUCCGGAAAAGGCAAAACUAGGGAAACAGUAAAAAGAUGAGUAGUUUCCAGGAGUUAGUGGGGAGACAGAGAUAAAUAGGUGAAGCACAGGGGAUAUUUAGUGCAUCGGAACUAUUUUGUAUGAUACUACAAUGGUGGAUACAUGUCAUUAGAUAUUUAUCAAAAUCCAUAAGAUGACCAACACCAAGAGUGAAGCCUCAUGCAAACUAUGGACCUUGGGUGAUAAUGAUUCAUUAUAACAAAUGUGCCACUCUGGUGUGGAAUGUUGAUAGUGGGAGAGGCUAAGCAGUUGUAGGGGCAGGGAAUAUAUGGGCACUCUAUUUCCUGAUCAAUUUUUCUGUGCAUCUAAAAAUGAACCUAAAAAAUAAGGUCUACUAAACAACAACAACAAGAGGUGACAGUUUAGUUGACUGUUUGCUAUCACCUAUCAAGGAUCUUCCCUUCUCAGCCAGGAUAGGAAGAUUUCCACCCUCCUGUGAUACAUCUUGUCUUGUACAAAUCCAAUUUAGGGUUUGUCCCAUGUAAAACUUCAUUUCCAUAGACUAACUUCUAGAAUAAAGACUUCUUGAGUCAUUCAGAAACCUAACUCAAACUGGCUCAAUUGAAUGUGAGAAUGUAUCAGUUUAUGUAACUAAAAAGUCUAGGGACUAAGAUAAGGCUGCAUUCAGGCAUAAUUAAAUCCAAGUACUUAAAAGAUGCAGUCAGAAAUCAAUCUCCUCUCUCUCUCUGUCUCUCAGUCUUCCACUCCAUCUCCCACCUCCAUGUUGACCUCAUUCUUAUGAGACCUCUCUCCAUGUGGUAACAUAUGGGUAUCAGCAUCUCUAGACUCACAUUCUGCCACUUAAGCUAUACUUAGAAACAAUAAUCUUCUUUCUCAGAAAAAUUCAAGCUGCUACCUCGAUUGAUAAACUGCAGCCACUUGUGCAUGGCUUAAACAACUUUAGUCCAUUGUUUCCAAAAUUAUAUUUGCAUGUCACUGGUGCUCCCUGAGAUGAUCUGGUAGUAAGCAAACAUUUAUUAUAAUACAUGCCAGGGGCUAGAGGGGAGGGACGGAUAAAUAGGCAGAACAUGGAGGAUAUUUAGGGAAGUGAAAUUAUUCCGAUAUUAUAUUGGUGAAUGCAUGCUGUUUUACAUUUGUCACAUGUAUAAUUAUGUGUAAAUUUUUAUGCAUAAUAAAAAAUAAGUAGUGCCUCAAAAUUUUUUUUCUUUUGCUUGGGAUGAGGCUGAAAUAGGAAGGAAAGUAGUAUUCAUUUUACAGGAUUAGGGUGAGUUUCAGAUAUGGUGAUCAGGCAUGUUCAUGAUCAUUUUGUACCUUUACGAAUCGAAUUAUCAAACAAGACUUAACCUGUUCCAUGUAGUUGAAGUGCUGUACAGGCAGAAAAAAUCUAGUCACUGUUGUAUACUGAGGGGAAAAUCUUAGGUUAAGUCCCUCAAAGAUUCUGGAAAAAUUUCAUAUGGUAAUUCAUAAGGCAAUUUUUGAAAGGAAGUCAAUAUGUCACAAAUUGAAUGUAACUUUGAAAAUCUUUACCCUACUUUGGAAAAAAGUAUCAUUUUAGUAUAACAUAAAAUGAACUACAUGACUGUCCUCUCCAUGGUUAAAUUCCUUGUCUGCCAACAUUAUAUAACUGACUUUUGUUUCUUCUGAUUUGUUUUCAUGCAGUUAAUUUUCAAGAGGAAGAGCUUCCUUCCUAAAUUUGAUUCAAAUCUAUUCCAGGAACAAACAGAAGCUUAAAGUUUCUUUUCACAGUUUCUUUUAAGGCGCCACUUUUGUUUCUCUGUGGUUUCAUUAUGAGAAGUAACUCAAAGUGGAAGAAGAUUGUUGUAAUGUAUUGCAUUUCUAUACUUGAGAGAGUUUUUAAGUUCUUCAGAUAAGUAUGGUAUGUGGUUGCAAGGUAAUUUUCACUUAUUUGCAAUAAUACAAAUUUGUGAAUUUCUGUUAUUUGUUAGCUACACAGUUUAUAGUAUUUUGUUACAGCAGGCCCAACAGAAUAAGAGAGACAAUAAGCAGAUUCUGGGAAAAUGGCAGAGUAGGAAGAACCAGGAAUCUCUCUCCUGACCUACCCAACUAAUGCAGUGGCAGAAUAUGACUUAACUAUCUUGGAACUCUGGAGUAAUCUAAGGUUCACAAUUUCCAGAGGAAGGCUUAGGUUGUGUAUUAGUUUGUUCUUACGCUGUUAUGAAGAAAUACCUGAGACUGGAUGAUUUAUGAAGGAAAGAGGUUUAAUUGACACACAAUUCCACAUGGGUGGGGAGGCCUCAGGAAACUUAUAAUCAUGGUAGAAGACAAAGGGGAAGCGAGGACCUUCUUCACAUGGUGGCAAGAGAGAGAAGAGUGAAGGAAAAACUUCCAAACACUUAUAAAACCAUCAGAUCUUGCGAGAACUCACUAUCAUGAGAACAGCAUGGGAGAAACUGCCCCCAUGAUCCAAUCACCUCCCUCCCUUGACAUGUGAUGAUUACAGGUGCUUCCCUCGAGGUGUGGGGAUUACAGUUUGAGAUGAGAUUUGGUGGGGACACAGAGCCAAACCAUAUCAUUCCACCUCUGGCCCCUCCCAAAUCUCAUGUCUUUUCACAUUUCAAAACCGAUCAUGCCUUCCCAACAGUCCCUCAAAGUCUUAACUCAUUUCAGCAUUAACUCAAAAGUCCACAGUCCAAAGUCUCAUCUGAGACAAGGCAAGUCUCUUCCACCUAUAAGCCUGUAAAAUUGAAAGCAAGUUAGUUACUUCCUAAAUACAAUGGGAGGACAGGCCUUGGGUAAAUGCUCCCAUUCCAAAUGGGAGAAAUUAACCAAAACAAAGGGGCGACAGGCCCCAUGCAAGUCUGAAAUCCAGCAAGGCAGUCCUUAAAUCUUAAAGCUCCAAAAUGAUCUUUUUUGACUCCAUGUCUCACACCCAGGACACACUGAUGCAAAGAGUGGGCUCCCAUGGCCUUGAGUAGCUUCUUCACAGGCUGGCAUUGAGUGCCUAUGGCUUUUUUAGGUGCACGGUGCAAGAAGGAGGUGAAUCUACCAUUCUUGGGUCUGGAGAACAGUGACCCUCUUCUCACAGCUCCCCUAGGCAGUGCCCCAGUGGGGACUCUGUGUGGGGGCUCCUACCCCAUAUUUCCCUUCCACACUGCCCUAGCAGAGGUUUUCCAUGAGGGCUCUGCCCCUGUAGCAGACCUCUGCCUGGCCAUCCAGGCAUUUUUAUACCUCCUUUGAAAUCUAGGCAGACAUUCCCAAACCUCAAUUCUUGACUACCAUGUACCCACAGGCCUAACACUACAGGGAAGCUGCCAAGGUCUGGGGCUUGUACCCUCUGAAGCCACAGCCUGAGCUGUACAUUGGCUCCUUUUAGCUAUGGCUGGAGCUAAAGUGGCUGGGAUGCAUCAUACCAAGUCCCAAAGCUGCACACAGCAGUGGGGGCCUGGGCCUGGCCCAAUAAAUCAUUUUUAACCUCCUAGGCCUCCAGGCCUGUGAUGGGAGGAGCUGCCGCCAAGAUCUCUGACAGGCUCUGGAGAUAUUUUCCCCAUUGUCUUUGUGAUUAACAUUGGGAUCCUCAUUACUUAUGCUAAUUUUUGCAGCCAGUUUGAAUUUCUCCCCAGAAAAUGGGUUUUUCUUUUCUACUGCAUGGUCAGGCUGCAAUUUUUCCAAACUUUUAUGCUCUGCUUCCCUUUUAAACGUAAGUUCCAAUUUCAGGUCAUCUCUCUCAAGUUCAAAGUUCCACAGAAAUCUAGGGCAGGGGCAAAAUGUCACCAGUCUCUUUGCUAAAGCAUAGCAAGAGUGACUUUUCUCCAUUUCUCAAUAAGUUAUUAAUCUCCAUCUGAGACCACCUCAGCCUGGACUUCAUUGUCCAUCCAUAUCAUUAUCAGCAUUUUGGUCAAAACCAUUCAACAAGUCUCUAGGAAGUUCCAAACUUUCCCACAUCUUCCUGUCUUCUUCUGAGCCCUCCAAAUUGUUCCAAUCUCUAACCAUUACCCAGUUCCAAAGUUGCUUCCACAUUUUUUUGUAUUUUUGUAGCAGUACCCCACUACCUUGGUACCAAUUAACUGUAUUAGUCUGUUUUCACACUGCUAUAAAGAAGUACCUGAGACUGGGUAAUGUAUAAAGGAAAGGGGUUUAAUUGAAUCACUGUUCCACAUGGCUGGGGAGGCCUCAGGAAGCUUACAAUUAUGGCAGAAGGGGAAACAGCCACCUUCUUCACAAGGAAGCAGGAGAGAGAGCACACAGGAAAAAACUGCCACUUUUAAAACCAGCAGAUGUCAUAAGAACUCACUCAUUAUCAUGAGAACAGCAUGGGGGAAACCACCCCCAUGAUCCAUUCACCUCCCUCCCUUGACAUGUGGGAAUUACAUGUUCCUCCCUCAACACAAAUAGGGAUUAUAAUUCAAGAUUCGAUUUGUCUGGGGACACAGAGCCAAACAAUAUCAGGUUGUAAAUUGCAGUUAGUUUCAGUCAUUGUCAGCUGUAGCCAUCCCUUACCCUCAGCGGCUUGGCAGGCAGCUGUGCAGAUGAUCCUGGAGUAGCUUACACAUAGCUUUGCCCAGUGUGGACAAAGGAAUGCUGUACUCUAAUUAUUGGGGAUCUGUGCUCUAAAUUGUUGCUUCUAAACAUAGAAGUACAGAAAAAGGAAACCACUGUUGCAUGUUCUCUUAUUGUUGCCCCCCUCCCCCACCGACCCCACUUCCCCCACCCUCUAGUGACUUCCAGGAAAUUUGAAAGGCAAGUGCUUUUUCCCCACUUUCAUUUUUCUCCUUUCUUUUCUGGAGGGUCAGACAUUAAGGACUAGGACAUUUGAAAUUAAGUCACCACAUAAACCCGGGGAAAGGGGUACAGACUCAGAAAACACUUGAGAAGACCUUACGUUUGCACCUCAGGCUAAUGCUCAGCACACAGAUAGCCUACAACCACCCCACAAAAACCAACCCCAAAACAAAACUCGGCAAGUCCUGGGAAGGGAGAGAAUCUGAUUUUUAAAGUUAUCACAUUACUAGACCCAAAUGUUCAGUUUUGAACAAAAAAAUCACAAGGUAUAUGUAUUGGUCCAUUUUCAUGCUGUUGAUAAAGACAUACCUGAGAUUCAGCAAUUUACGAAAGAAAGAGGCUUCUUAGACUUACAGUUCCAAAUGGCUGGGGAGGCCUUACGAUCAUGGCGGAAGGCAAGGUGGAGCAAGUCACAUCUUACGUGGAAGGCAGCAGGCAAAAAAAUAACUUGUGCAGGGAAACUCCCGUUUUUAAAACCAUGAGAUCUUGUGAGUCCCAUUCACUGUCAAAAGAACAGCACAGGAAAGACCCACCCCUGUUGAUUCAGUCAUCUCCCAUCGGGUCCCUCUCAUAACACAUGGGAAUUAUGGGAGCUACAAGAUGAGAUUUGGGUGGAGACACAGAGCCAAACUGUAUCAGUAUACAAAGAAGCAGUAAAGCAUGGACCAUUCAAAGGAAAAAAAGAAAUCAACAGAAACUUCCUUGAAAAGACCUGAUGGCUGGUGAAUCUACCAGACAUAAAAACAACGGUCUUAAAGAUGCUCAGAGAACUAGAGGAAGAUGUAGAGAAGGUCAGGAAAACAACACAUGAACAGGACGUAUCCCAUGACGCUCAUCCAAAUGAAACCAUUUGGUGGGGUGCAACCCCAGAAUCACGAUGGGUGCCUUGUGUACAGGAGGCCAAACUUUAUAUAAGUAUUGUACAUUUAGCAGUGGGAACUACAAUCCCUGGCCAUGGUAAAGGUGCUAGAGGAAUCCACAAUUAAGUGCAUGGCAACUUUCCAUGUGACAGUGUUAGUUUUGAAUCUCGCAGUGUCACCUGUCAUUCUUGCCCACAACUGGAAAUGACAGUGACCCCAGUGUCCCCAGUGUUCAAGAGACUCAUAAUAGUUUGUGUAGUACCCUUUUCCCCUGCCUCUCAAACUAGGGCACAGGCGUUCAGUUCCCACUGGUGGCCCCAAAUCUUGGCCCCAUCUUUAGUCUGUCUUCUCCAAAGAUGUUAGCUCAGGAUAUAAUGGUGGAAGUGGUUCCUUUUCAAGUAGUUUCUCUCUGGCACCCACCAAUGCCUCUGCUGUUUUGAACCCUUCAAGUGUUGGUGGGAACACUCAGGGCAGAGAACCAGUCAGCAAAAUCAACUCAGUCUAACAAGCAUUCCUCUUGCGGUUCAAUUGCUUGAACCAAUCGUUUAACAUUAAGAUCUCAGGAUUUGGGCUGGGCGCUAGUGGCUCAUGCCUGUAAUCCCAGAACUUUGGGAUCUGCUGCACAGAUCAACCCAUCACCUAGGUAUUAAGCCCAGCAUCCAUUAGCUAUUCUCCCUGAUGCCCUCCCUUCCCCAUCCCCUGACAGGCCCCAGUGUGUGUUGUUCCCUGCCAUGUGUCCAUGUGUUCGCAUUGUUCAGCUCCCACUUCAGGCCGAGGCGGGCGGAUCACGAGGUCAGGAGAUCGAGACCAUCCUGGCUAACACGGUGAAACCCUGUCUUUAAUAAAAAUACAAAAAAUUAGCCAGGCGUGGUGGCAGGCAUCUGUAGCCCUAGCAACUCAGGAGGCUGAGGCAGGAGAAUGGCAUGAACCCAGGAGGCAGAGCUUGCAGUGAGCCAAGAUUGUGCCACUGCACUCCAGCCUGGGUGACAGAGCGAGACUCCGUCUCAAAAAAAAAAAAAUCUCAGGAUUCAUUACAGAAAUGCAAAGCAAAAUGACAAUGAAAUACCAUCUCAUGCCAGUCAGAAUGGCGAUUAUUAAAAAAUCAAGAAACAACAGAUUUGGCAAGGUUGCAGAGAAAAAGGAAUGCUUUUACACUGUUGGUAGGAGUGUAAAUUCGUUCAACCAUUUUGAAAAAUGUGGUGAUUCUUCAAAGAUCUAGAGGCAAAAAUACCAUUUGACCCAGCAAUCCCAUUAUUGGGUAUAUACCCAAAGGAAUAUAAAUAAUUCUAUUAAUAUUAUAAAGAUAUAUGCACAUGUAUGUUUAUUGCAACACUAUUCACAAUAGCAAAGACAUAGAUUCAACACAAAUGCCCAUCAAUGAUAGACUAGUUAAAGAAACUAUGGUGCAUAUACAUCAUGGAAUACUAUGCAGCCAUAAAAAGGAAUAGGAUCAUGUCCUUUGCAGGGACAUGAAUGGAGCUGGAAACCGUUAUUCUCAGCAAACUAAUGCAGGAACAGAAAGCCAAACACCACCUGUACUCACUUAUAAGUAGGAGCUGAACAAUGUGAAUACAUGGACACAUGGCAGGGAACAACACACAAUGGGGCCUGUCGGGGUAGGGAAGGGAGGGCAUCAGGGAGAAUAGCUAAUGGAUGCUGGGCUUAAUACCUAGAUAAUGGGUCGAUCUGUGCGGCAAACCACCAUGGCACACGUUUACCUAUGUGACAAACCUGCACAUCCUGCACAUGUACCCCUGAACUUAAAAUAAAAGUUGAAGAAGAAAAAAAGAGGAACGUGAUAACCUUCAAAAAAGUCUCAAGAUCCAUAAAUGCUUGAGGGGAUGGGUACCACAUCUUUCAUGAUGAGAUUAUUAUGCAUUGCAUGCCUAUAUCAAAACAUCCCACAUACCCCAUAAAUAUGUACGCCUACUAUGUACCCACAACAAUUAAAAUAAAAAAAUAUAAAAAACAAAGAAAAAGAGAAAAAAAUAAAAUAAAAAUUUAAAAUAAAAACAAAAGAUUUCAGUUUCCUCCCUCAGCUCAUACUGAUCCCUCAGUUGUUCAAUAGGGAUCCCAUCUGUCUCUUCCUUAGCCACCAUGCUUAAGCAGCCACCAUGCUUAACAGCCAUAGCCACACGACUCUUCCCUUGGGUCCAGGGCAGCCUGAGGCCUUCCUUUUCUGUGGCUCCUUUUAUCUUUUAGUGGGCUCCUGAUGGUGGUUUGGAGCUCCAUUUGCUAUGUGAUGAGGGAGUAGCCACCACUCACCACUGUGGCUGUGUUUUUGGCAGCGCCCCACAUGGGCACAUUAUGGUACAGUUUUCCAACGAUGUCCCCCGUAGUCAUUCCUAGGGAGACUAAGAGGGUUAAUGGAGCCCACCUGUUGGAUGCCCCCAUUUUAUUAAGUCGUGUAUUUGCUGUCAAGCAGUGGUACAUCAUCUAAAUCCCCUUCUGGAUUGAUAGAGCCAUAGAGGAGGCUCCUGGGGCUCUCACCAAGUCAAAGGGUGCUUGAAAGUCUUUCUAGAAUUGUUUCAAUUUAGGAAGAUCACCAGGUUUCAAGCAGAUUGGUUUGUCACCAGAUUGGUUUGUCACCUGUCCAAUCCUGAGGAGUUGGCCUAUUCAAUGUGGGCAAAGAUCCAUUAUAACAAUUAAUCCCAUCCUCUCUCAUCUGGUCCAG
rnacentral:lncRNA from 1 species